rnacentral:tRNA from 1 species
GUCCGGGUGGCGGAAUGGCAGACGCGCUAGCUUGAGGUGCUAGUGCCCUUACGGGCGUGGGGGUUCAAGUCCCCCUCCGGACA